rfam:Providencia burhodogranariea DSM 19968 genomic scaffold scaffold00002, whole genome shotgun sequence.
GGCCCCUUAGCUCAGUUGGUUAGAGCAGUCGACUCAUAAUCGAUUGGUCGCUGGUUCAAGUCCAGCAGGGGCCA